UAAACUAAACCCCGCACAUUAUAUAAACCCAUCUUAACGACACACCUCAUUGGCAGCAGCUCGAUCGAUCACUUGCACAUGCAAACCAAUCCAUUCGCUCCUCCCACACACUAACGAAGCAGCUAAGCGGGCUAGCGAGCGAUCGACAAUGGCCGGCGGUCGAGCUAGCGCCGUCCUCCUCCUCCUUCUCCUGGUAGUCGCCGUGGCCGGCGCGACGGCGACGGCGACGGCGGCAUCGUCGUCCUCAUCGUCGCCGCAGGUCGUGGGCACGGCGGCGGCGGACGACAUGGAGCACGUGAAGGGGAUGAUGGAGUGCAUGAUCGGGUGCUUCACGCAGGUGUUCAUGUGCGCCUUCGGGUGCAUGGCGAAGGGCCCCGANNN
rnacentral:lncRNA from 1 species